UAGAAUGAAGCCCACUGGAAGGGGUUUUUAAUUGUUAAUUAAAUUUCGCGGGGUCAGUGCCCGCCAUUCUAG
rnacentral:tRNA from 1 species